CAUGCAGUCGAACGAAGCACCUUAUUCUGAUUUCUUCGGAAUGAAAAAUUUGGUGACUGAGUGGCGGACGGGUGAGUAACGCGUGGGUAACCUGCCUCAUACAGGGGGAUAACAGUUAGAAAUGACUGCUAAUACCGCAUAAGACCACAGCACCGCAUGGUGCAGGGGUAAAAACUCCGGUGGUAUGAGAUGGACCCGCGUCUGAUUAGGUAGUUGGUGGGGUAACGGCCUACCAAGCCGACGAUCAGUAGCCGACCUGAGAGGGUGACCGGCCACAUUGGGACUGAGACACGGCCCAAACUCCUACGGGAGGCAGCAGUGGGGAAUAUUGCACAAUGGGGGAAACCCUGAUGCAGCGACGCCGCGUGAGCGAUGAAGUAUUUCGGUAUGUAAAGCUCUAUCAGCAGGGAAGAAAAUGACGGUACCUGACUAAGAAGCACCGGCUAAAUACGUGCCAGCAGCCGCGGUAAUACGUAUGGUGCAAGCGUUAUCCGGAUUUACUGGGUGUAAAGGGAGCGUAGACGGAGUGGCAAGUCUGAUGUGAAAACCCGGGGCUCAACCCCGGGACUGCAUUGGAAACUGUCAAUCUAGAGUACCGGAGAGGUAAGCGGAAUUCCUAGUGUAGCGGUGAAAUGCGUAGAUAUUAGGAGGAACACCAGUGGCGAAGGCGGCUUACUGGACGGUAACUGACGUUGAGGCUCGAAAGCGUGGGGAGCAAACAGGAUUAGAUACCCUGGUAGUCCACGCCG
rnacentral:rRNA from 1 species